AGCACUAUUUUUUAAACCUGUGGAUGGGAUUUCUCUCCACUAUAGGUUACGCUGUAGUGCAAAAUAAUUCCUUGGCACUCUUCUGAGCACAACUGACCACCUACCAUUUGGUUGAUGCUACUAUAAGCUAAGGAACAGAA